AAAGAAAUAUUGAGGAUAAUGAGUCGGGCUUUUGAUGACUUCAAUGAAGGGAAAUUUUCAAAACAGCAUUUGGGCAUGUUAUCAAGUCGUCCAAACUUCGAAAUUCAGUUGAUGGUAAAGAUUAUAAUUAUGUGCUUAUCUCCAAAAGUUUUCAUAAGACUCGGAGUUGAGCAAUUGAAUGCACAGCGUUGGAAAGUGAGGUAUUUUUGUGUGUUAAAUUUUGCCUAAUUAGACCAUUAUUUCGCUGCAAAAAAAUAAACAACAAUUGUAUUUUGGCCAUGUCGUGAUUUUUGGUUAUUAUGUUAAUAAUUUUGUACGACUUUUAAGGCAUUCAAUUGAAGUAAUUCUGAGCCGUAAACAUAUUUUACUUCUUGGCCUUUGAAUCAAAAUACGACUCGCUCGGACGUUUGUUGAGCGCAAUAGUCGAAAAAGUUUCGUCCCAACUUUGAUUUUUUUUUGACCGGCUGGCCAAGACAACUUCUCGUAAGGAUUCGUUAAAAAAAUACAAAUUCAAGUUGAGCAUUUCUUGAUUUUCAACUGAAAAGAUCAACUAGUGGCUAAAAUUAAUUGUGAAUUGUAUUCUAUCGAACGUGAACGAUACGUGUACAUCCGAAGAGUUUUAAAAACCUUUCACGUCAUGCUUCUUGCGAAAGCAACCGUUCGUAAGCUUUCGCAAGCGUUUUGAGCAAAAACUCUAAAAUAUUGGCAGUAUUAC